UGUCAAAGUGCUUCUUGGCUGUCUGUGGGGUUGGCAUGAAAAGGAUUGAGCGUCAAGGUGGAUGUCUCUUUGCCCACUUUUUGGAUUGUGGUCUAGAAAGCAUAUUGUGAUUUGUACAAGAAGCACGUUCCCAUUUGGACCUUUAACAAAUUCAGCUGUUUCGUGUUCUGUAGAGAAGUACUGAGCAGCUUAAAGCAUUUGAAUGGGAGGAGGAGAAGCAAACUACAGCUACUUCAGAAGAUGACACUAAAUACCUAGUCCAACCUGUAUACA